AGCGGAGUAGAGCAACGGUAGCUCGUCAGGCUCAUAACCUGAAGGUAGUUGGUUCAACUCCAACCUCCGCAA
rnacentral:tRNA from 1 species